AGAAGGUGUUCUAACCCAGGCAAGAGUGCGAUCGACUCUUGGAGUGACUUCAGCUGACUUGUGAAAGCUCUUGAAGACUCAACUUGAGCAGGUCCAGAGACCGUGUGAGCUGAGUUUGGAGCUUCUGUUGGGCCGUUUUGAGCUUAGUGAUAGGUGGAUUUGACCUAACCAGAGUAAGUGAAG